UCUCGAUAGCGUAAAAGUUAACUCAAGUUUGUAUGGAGUUGGAACGUUUGCCUAUGUUUGCCACUAGAGGCACUGUUCCAGCUGCAUACAGGUAACUUUUACGCUAUCGA
rnacentral:pre_miRNA from 9 species